UAUAAAGCACGUCCCGCUUACUCUCAUUUCAGAAUAAAAAAGAAAACUCAAUUUCAUUUCGAGGCAUCUCUAGGUUUAGGGUUCGAGAUUUGCGACUGCGUGCCAAAAAGUUUAGAAGAUGAUCAGAGCUCUAACAUGGAUCUUAUUGUGCUUUUCGAAAUUGUGGAGGCUACGAAUUAGGGUUUGGUUCUGGUUCGCACUUCUCUCCUGUUCGUAUUCAGGUCUUUGAUCGAGCAAUUUCAACAUCCAGCCUGAGAUUGGAGCUGAUCGCUGGAUUUUGAGGAAGCUAAGAAUGGUGAUGCCUCGCUCGUCUCAGAGACGAUUACGAUGCUGGAGAGAAAGGAAGGUCGAGGUCAAGUUGGAUGAGCCGCUCAUAUAAACCUAGACCUACGCUGAUUUUCUGCUCGGGAAAUUUGAUGACAUCACCGCAGCGCUACUUAAACAACUUGUAAUUAUUUUGUCUUGAUUCCUUGUUUUCUAUGCUGCAAAGGGAGGAAUGGGCGACAGUGAAAGGAGGCUGGCCCGCAGUGCAGGACGUCCAGAUUUGAAGCAAGGAUGAAGCAAUAUCAACUAGCCUUUCUUAUUUGUAAGCCGUCAAUUGGAAAAUGAUUCCCCAAAGGAAGAGCAAACUGAGGGCUUGCUGCCUAAAAAACUAUCAAAUCCAAGGAGUAUUCCAAUGUCCAGGCGCGUCUUGGCUAAACGAGGCCAGGCUAUACCACUUCUAAUAAUCAUUUGAAAGUUUCAUUCGGAAUGUUGAUGAGCGCGUCUUGGCUAAACGAGGCCAGCCUACACCACUUCUAAUAAUCAUUUGGAAGUUUCAUUCGGAAUGUUGAUGAGUACUUCUAUUUAUGCAGUGUUUAACUGAAGUAUGAAGAUGAUCGGCCUGUGGAUGGUAAGGGGUUCACACAACAGUUAUCGACAAACUACACCAAACGUUUGACAGUGAGAUUGGUAACAAGGAUUUUGCAUAUGACGGGGAAAAGAGUUUUUUUUUGUAAUGCAUCACAGAAUAGAACUUCUGGCAGUGGAAGCCCAGGCGGAAAUGACAGCCCGGCCAGAUUCACCGUAAGCAGUUGAGGCGUCCCUACCAGACAAAGUCCUUUAAAGUUGAGCUGAAUUUUGCUAAAGUGUCUCCAAUGCAGUCAAUUGCAAUGGCUUUAAAAGGUCAUUUUACUGAAAACAUUUAGGAAUCGCUGUCACUGUGAGUGUUUUUCUGAAGGCAUUACUUCUUGUAGGGGUUGCUUGCUUGCCCUUCAAACUUUUUUUCAGACCAACCCUUCAAACUUCACUGCUAUGGGAGGCGCCGUCUUGGGUUAUAGAGGGCUCCAUUCAAGCUCCCGAACCUACGAAGGUGGCCUAUCAAUAUUGAAUAUAGAAGAUGAUCAGAGCUCUAACAUGGAUCUUAUUGUGCUUUUCGAAAUUGUGGAGGCUACGAAUUAGGGUUUGGUUCUGGUUCGCACUUCUCUCCUGUUCGUAUUCAGGUCUUUGAUCGAGCAAUUUCAACAUCCAGCCUGAGAUUGGAGCUGAUCGCUGGAUUUUGAGGAAGCUAAGAAUGGUGAUGCCUCACUCGUCUCAGAGACGAUUACGAUGCUGGAGAGAAAGGAAGGUCGAGGUCAAGUUGGAUGAGCCGCUCAUAUAAACCUAGACCUACACUGAUUUUCUGCUCGGGAAAUUUGAUGACAUCACCGCAGCGCUACUUAAACAACUUGUAAUUAUUUUGUCUUGAUUCCUUGUUUUCUAUGCUGCAAAGGGAGGAAUGGGCGACAGUGAAAGGAGGCUGGCCCGCAGUGCAGGACGUCCAGAUUUGAAGCAAGGAUGAAGCAAUAUCAACUAGCCUUUCUUAUUUGUAAGCCGUCAAUUGGAAAAUGAUUCACCAAAGGAAGAGCAAACUGAGGGCUUGUUGCCUAAAAAACUAUCAAAUCCAAGGAGUAUUCCAAUGUCCAGGCGCGUCUUGGUUAAACGAGGCCAG